rnacentral:lncRNA from 1 species
UCCCAUAAUCUCUCUCUUGGUAGAUACUUUAAUCAAUCAAGUGGAACUCAAGUGAGAUUAAAAAUAAGAAAGAGUAGCAGAGGCAGAAUCAGAAUCAAAACCAAAAGUUGAACACAGGUUGCAUCAGGUCACACUGAACUCAGAGCAGAAUGAUGAAACAAAUCACUGCAAAGACAAAAGUAAGAAGUUAGAACUCGCCAUGAACUCGAGAGCACUGAAGCAAAGAGCAAUAAGACAGGAAAUAGGAUCUUUUUCAUGUCCAACAACGGGCAGAGUGAAACCAAUGCAAAGACAUAGCAUUUGAAGAUCUUUCUUGUAUUAUCUCAAGCAUUCAAGUCACUGAUAUCAAUGAAAUCAAUCUCUAAUGUAAUAAAAUGUGAGUCCCAAUACAAUGACCACUGUACUUCAAGUUUGGAACGUAUCCUCAAUUGGACUUAAAAGAGUCAUUUUCUCAUGCUCAUAUGUCAACUCUUGCAUUGAAAUGACAAUGAAAUGCUUGUCUACAUAUUGUUUGAUCCAAGAAUUUAAAGGAAGCAUGAGUCUCAUUUAUAUAUCUUGAACAAUAGAAAAAAGAAAGAAAUGUUUCGUAUUUGUGUUGCCUAAACCACAAACCCAGCAAGAACUUGUCCAGCUUAUUCAACCAUAACAAUAUUCACAAGUUAUAUCUUGCUUGAAUUCAUAUGUAGACCAAACAAGGGCUCAAUUCAAAUACGAAUAGAUGCUACACAAAUGCGAGAAACAUUUUAUCAUGUUAAGCCUUAACAUUCAAACUUAACCACUACAGAGCUUUGUUCUUUCAUCAACCAAAUGAAUUUAGUUUGGUACAUGGAUCAAAUGAACCACAGUUGGAUUCAGUAACAUCAAUGAUAAAUCCAACUGACAAUUCAGAUCGAGCAGUUGGAAUGAUUCCAAGCGAUUGCAAUAUAUCCUCACUAGUUUUUGAAGAUUUCCAACCUCUAUCUUACUAUUUCAAAAAGAAGGAAGAAUAACACUAUCAAUACCCCUUCAUGCAUUUUGAUCAGUCAAACCACCUAGGAAGACUCCAAAUUCUAGUUGGAAGAGAAAAGAGAAACAAAUCAAGCUCAAAUUAAAAGGAAAAAGAUGACAAUCACCUUUAAGUAAUUAUCAGCAAUUCCAUGAAGGUGCA